CUCCUCCCACCGCCAUCGCCGCGGCCGCCUUCGACAACUCCUUGCAGUGCUGCUUUUGACUAAUCGUUUCCUUCUCUCCUUCUCGCAGGCACCAUUUGACUUGGGAAGCUGCAGAUUUCUAUUACGAGAGUUUGUUUUUUCCAAUUACACCAGGACUCAUCUGAACGGCUGUGAAACCGGAGGUCACUGCCAAAUAUAAAGCACAGCAGUGUGAGAUAGGCUCAAAAUUCAUACAUCGCAUUCUACGGAUGCACUCAAGGUCUGUUAUAUUCAAGAGGACUUCCAGUACGUUUAAGACCGCAAAAGCUCCAGGAGUGAGGAGGAAAAAAAAAAAAAA